GACGAACGCUGGCGGCGUGCUUUAUACAUGCAAGUCGAACGAUGAAGUUCCUUCGGGAAUGGAUUAGUGGCGAACGGGUGAGGAACACGUGAGAAACCUGCCUUUCAUUCUGGGAUAACACCGGGAAACCGGUGCUAAUACCGAAUACUCCGUCUUGGCGGCAUCGCCGAGCCGGGAAAAAAUUUUGAUGAAAGAUGGUCUCGCGGCCUAUCAGCUAGUUGGUGAGGUAAAGGCUCACCAAGGCGACGACGGGUAGCCGGCCUGAGAGGGCGACCGGCCACACUGGGACUGAGACACGGCCCAGACUCCUACGGGAGGCAGCAGUAGGGAAUAUUGGGCAAUGGGCGCAAGCCUGACCCAGCGACGCCGCGUGAGGGAUGAAGGCCUUCGGAUUGUAAACCUCUUUCAGUAGGGAAGAAGCGAAAGCGGCGGUACCUAAAGAAGAAGCACCGGCUAACUAUGUGCCAGCAGCCGCGGUAA
rnacentral:rRNA from 1 species